UACGAAGGGGGCUAGCGUUGUUCGGAAUUACUGGGCGUAAAGCGCACGUAGGCGGAUACUUAAGUCAGGGGUGAAACUCCCGGGGCUCAACCCCGGAACUGCCUUUGAUACUGGGUAUCUCGAGUCCGGAAGAGGUGAGUGGAAUUCCGAGUGUAGAGGUGAAAUUCGUAGAUAUUCGGAGGAACACCAGUGGCGAAGGCGGCUCACUGGUCCGGUACUGACGCGUGAGGUGCGAAAGCGUGGGGAGCAAACAGG
rnacentral:rRNA from 1 species